ensembl:lncRNA
UGCUGGGAGAAAUUGUUGCUGGGUUACAGGGUUAAAUAGUCUUUCAAGACUGAAGUCAGCAGGACUGUGAGUUAGUAUCAGCCAGACGUGUUGCUGGGUUACAGGGUUAAAUAGUCUUUCAAGACUGAAGUCAGCAGGACUGUGAGUUAGUAUCAGCCAGACGUGUUGCUGGGUUACAGGGUUAAAUAGUCUUUCAAGACUGAAGUCAGCAGGACUGUGAGUUAGUAUCAGCCAGACGUGUUGCUGGGUUACAGGGUUAAAUAGUCUUUCAACCAGUUUGGAAAAGAGAAAACAGAACGUUCUGCUCCAUUGUUACACUCCCAUUGUGAAGUAGAAGGGUUCCAUUAUACUGUAUUAGAACACAACUGUACUUUAGAACCAGAAGAGACUCCACUAUCAACAUGAGAAAUGAUGGUCAACUGUAUAGACACACAUAGGCUGGGAUUCAAUCCAAUACUGUAUAGACACACAUAGGUUGGGAUUCAAUCCAAUACUGUAUAGACCUACAUAGGCUGGGAUUCAAUACAAUACUGUAUAGACACACACAGCCUGGGAUUCAGUCCAAUACUGUAUAGACACACACAGCCUGGGAUUCAAUACAAUACUGUAUAGACACACACAGCCUGGGAUUCAAUCCAAUACUGUAUAGACCUACAUAGGCUGGGAUUCAAUCCAAUACUGUAUAGACACACACAGCCUGGGAUUCAAUCCAGUACUGUAUACACACACAUAGGCUGAUUUUCAAUCCAAUACUGUAUAGACACACACAGGCUGAUAUUCAAUCCAAUACUGUAUACACACACACAGGCUGGGAUUCAAUCCAAUACUGUAUACACACACACAGGCUGGGAUUCAAUCCAAUACUGUAUAGACAGACACACAGACUGGGAUUCAAUCCAAUACUGUACAGACAGACACAUAGGCUGGGAUUCAAUCCAAUACUGUAUAGACACACACAGGCUGGGAUUUAAUCCAAUACUGUAUCGACACACAGACUGGGAUUCAAUCCAACACUGUACAGACACACACAGGCUGAGAUUCAAUCCAAUACUGUAUACACACACACAGGCUGGGAUUCAAUCCAAUACUGUAUACACACACACAGGCUGAUUUUCAAUCCAAUACUGUAUACACAGUAUAUACAGCAAGGCACUCAACCUCAAUUGCUCCAGGGAUGUCAUUGAUCAUGUCUGACCCUGUCUAAAGACCCCAGCUCUCUGUGGGUGUUGAUAAUGUCUGACCCUGUCUAAAGACCCCAGCUCUCUGUGGGUGUUGAUAAUGUCUGACCCUGUCUAAAGACCCCAGCUCUCUGUGGGUGUUGAUAAUGUCUGACCCUGUCUAAAGACGCCAGCUCUCUGUGGGUGUUGAUAAUGUCUGACCCUGUCUAAAGACCCCAGCUCUCUGUGGGUGUUGAUAAUGUCUGACCCUGUCUAAAGACCCCAGCUCUCUGUGGGUGUUGAUAAUGUCUGACCCUGUCUAAAGACCCCAGCUCUCUGUGGGUGUUGAUAAUGUCUGACCCUGUCUAAAGACCCCAGCUCUCUGUGGGUGUUGAUAAUGUCUGACCCUGUCUAAAGACCCCAGCUCUCUGCGGGUGUUGAUAAUGUCUGACCCUGUCUAAAGACCCCAGCUCUCUGUGGGUGUUGAUAAUGUCUGACCCUGUCUAAAGACUCCAGCUCUCUGUGGGUGUUGAUAAUGUCUGACCCUGUCUAAAGACCCCAGCUCUCUGUGGGUGUUGGUAAUGUCUGACCCUGUCUAAAGACUCCAGCUCUCUGUGGGUGUUGAUAAUGUCUGACCCUGUCUAAAGACUCCAGCUCUCUGCGGGUGUUGAUAAUGUCUGACCCUGUCUAAAGACUCCAGCUCUCUGUGGGUGUUGAUAAUGUCUGACCCUCUCUAAAGACUCCAGCUCUCUGUGGGUGUUGAUAAUGUCUGACCCUGUCUAAAGACCCCAGCUUUCUGUGGGUGUUGAUAAUGUCUGACCCUGUCUAAAGACCCCAGCUCUCUGUGGGUGUUGAUAAUGUCUGACCCUGUCUAAAGACCCCAGCUCUCUGUGGGUGUUGAUAAUGUCUGACCCUGUCUAAAGACCCCAGCUCUCUGUGGGUGUUGAUAAUGUCUGACCCUGUCUAAAGACCCCAGCUCUCUGUGGGUG